UGGGGAAUAUUGCACAAUGGGCGCAAGCCUGAUGCAGCAACGCCGCGUGAGGGAUGACGGCCUUCGGGUUGUAAACCUCUUUUAGUAGGGAAGAAGCGAAAGUGACGGUACCUGCAGAAAAAGCACCGGCUAACUACGUGCCAGCAGCCGCGGUAAUACGUAGGGUGCGAGCGUUGUCCGGAAUUAUUGGGCGUAAAGAGCUCGUAGGCGGUCUGUCGCGUCUGCUGUGAAAACCCGAGGCUCAACCUCGGGCCUGCAGUGGGUACGGGCAGACUAGAGUGCGGUAGGGGAGAAUGGAAUUCCUGGUGUAGCGGUGGAAUGCGCAGAUAUCAGGAGGAACACCGAUGGCGAAGGCAGUUCUCUGGGCCGUAACUGACGCUGAGGAGCGAAAGCGUGGGGAGCGAACAGGAUUAGAUACCCUGGUAGUCCACGCCGUAAACGUUGGGCGCUAGAUGUGGGGACCAUUCCACGGUUUCCGUGUCGCAGCUAACGCAUUAAGCGCCCCGCCUGGGGAGUACGGCCGCAAGGCUAAAACUUAAAUGAAUUGAC
rnacentral:rRNA from 1 species